AAAACUAUAAAGACACAUGCACCACCAAGGCCACCUUCCAUCAUCCAAACUUCACACACCUAGACCACAAGCAUCAAAGGCAAGCAAGCAGUAGUAACCACAAAUCCAAGAUGAAGACCUUCCUCAUCUUUGUCCUCCUUGCCAUGGCGAUGAAGAUCGCCACUGCCGCUAGGGAGUUAAACCCUAGCAACAAAGAGUUACAAUCACCUCAACAAUCAUUUUCCCAUCAACAACAACCAUUUCCACAGCAGCCAUAUCCACAACAACCAUAUCCAUCACAGCAACCAUAUCCAUCGCAACAACCAUUUCCCACACCCCAACAACAAUUUCCCCAGCAAUCACAACAACCAUUUACCCAGCCCCAACAACCGACCCCCUUACAACCACAACAACCAUUCCCCCAGCAACCCCAACAACCACAACAACCUUUUCCACAACCCCAACAACCAUUUCCCUGGCAACCACAACAACCAUUUCCCCAGACCCAACAAUCGUUCCCUCUCCAACCACAACAGCCAUUCCCCCAGCAACCCCAACAACCAUUUCCCCAGCCCCAACUACCAUUCCCCCAGCAAUCAGAACAAANNNNN
rnacentral:lncRNA from 1 species